UUCAGAAGCUGGUGCGUGACGUCAGUGAGCGGAAGUAAACAGACCCGCUGCGCUUCAUGUCAACACGCUUAUGAACUCUAUAAGAUCAUCUGAUCAUAUAUUAAAUAAUCUAUGAUUAAUAAUAUUAUAAAGUCAACAGUCUGAGGUUGAAUCGUACGCUUUGAUGGCUCAGAUUCUGCAGAGGAAACUGCUGUGCUGUAAAUAUCAUUGAUUAUUGAUUAUUGAUGCCGGUUCGGGAUGGCCGCGGGUUUCGCUCCGCCGAAGCUCAAAGACUUUAUUCUCACCGAGAAACUGGGAAGCGGCACAUAUGCCACAGUUUAUAAAGCGUUCAGAAAGACGGACAGCAGGGAGGCGGUGGCUGUGAAGGUGGUCAGUAAGAAAAGCCUCAAUAAAACCUCCAUGGAGAAUCUGCUGACCGAGAUCGAGAUCCUGAAAACAGUCCGGCAUCCUCACAUAGUGCAGCUCAAAGACUUCCAGUGGGACAGUGAUCACAUCUAUCUGAUUCUGGAAUGGUGUUCAGGAGGAGAUUUGUCCUCUUUUAUCCGCAGUCGCCGGAUCCUCCCGGAAAGAGUCGCUCGCCGCUGCCUUCAGCAGAUUGCAUGUGCUCUUCAGUUUCUCCAUGAGAAGAACAUCUCUCAUCUGGACCUCAAGCCUCAGAACAUUCUGCUGAGUGGAAACGUGUUAAAGCUCGCAGACUUUGGUUUUGCGCAGUACAUGAGUCCGUGGGACGAGCAGCACGCUCUGAGAGGUUCUCCGCUCUAUAUGGCUCCAGAGAUGGUGUGUCGACGGCAUUAUGACGCUCGAGUGGAUCUGUGGUCCGUCGGGGUCAUUCUGUACGAAGCUUUAUUUGGACGGGCUCCGUUUGCCUCACGAUCAUUCGCUGAACUGGAAGAGAAGAUCCGCAGUGAGAAACCCGUCGAGCUGCCGUCCGGAGCCAGAGUUUCCCGUGACUGUCGAGACCUGCUGCUGCGGCUGCUCGAGAGAGACCCGGACACCCGCAUCACGUUCCACGAGUUCUUCCUGCAUCCCUUCGUGGAUCUGGAGCACAUGCCGAGCGCUGAGAGCCUCGGGAAGGCUAAAGCGCUGGUGAUGCAGGCGGUGCAGAAGGACCAGGAUGGAGAGCGAUCGGCUGCGUUAUCUCUCUACUGUAGUGCACUGGAACACUUCGUUCCUGCCAUUCACUAUGAGACGGACAGACUGAGGAAGGAAGCGCUGAGACAGAAGGUGAAUCAGUAUGUUUCUCGAGCCGAGGAGCUCAAAGCUCUGGUCAGAUCGGACAACAAAAUCAGUUUCGAGGCGGCGAAAUCAACCAGGAACAUCUUAAUAGAAAUGUCCAGAGAUCACCCCCGUUUACUGGCUGCGCUGGAAGUAGCGUCCACUGCUGUCGCCCAGGAGGAGAGCGGCGCGGAGGACUACGACACGCUGGAUCUGUACCAGCAGAGUUUGGGCGAGCUGCUGCUGGCGCUGGCGGGUAAAGUUACUUACACACGAAACAGCAGAACGUCCAGAUGUGGCGAUGGGUCCGUGCCAGGUCAGCGUGUGCGGCUGGAGGAUGAAGUGAGCUCAGAGAGCGAGACCCUGCCGGAUUCACGUUUCACUGCAGGGCUUUUGGCCGUUACGCUCCCGCUGUGGAUCUGUCACGCUGCUAACGCCAGCGCCGGCCUAAUCAAAACACAGCCGCUCUAGGGCUCAGCGUGCGAGACUCAGGCAUCUGCGAGACAUAAUAAGCCUGGUUGUGAAACGUUUCUCAGUUUGUACUCUUGCUCAGAGAGCGUUAUGGUGUGUGCACACCGAAAGCGAAGCGAGUAUUCGCAUCGCGUAGAGCCUGAUUUAUAAAUUUGCCCGGCUCCGCAGCGCACGCUCCUCCCCAGACGGAUAAGGCGUUUAAGUGUGCCAUUGUAUAUUUUCCACAUUUUAUUUGCGUUUUAAGCGAAUAUCUCGUUUUCGCGGCAAUCGCGUCACAUCAUUCGCCCGCGUCUCACAAAGUAACAGAAAAUGCCGUGCACACCGUCACGCGAAAUGGGUUCGCGCGCACUCAACACGCACUUCCGCCAAAGCCGCGAUUACAUCACUUUUGACGUGCGCACCCAAGAAACUUGAGGACGCGUCGAUAAAUCUGGCUUUACUCACUCUAGAUUAAUCGCGGGAUUACUUGAUUUUCUCGUCACUCGCGCAAAUAAAAAAAAACGCGCGAUGAGGAGCGUCUUCACCGGGAAUCCCAGCCUGUGCAUAGUGCUGUAAAACUCAUAGCUAGAAACGAUUUGGUCAUCUGAGAAAAAUUUUGAGAUUCCUCAAAGAUUCCUGUAAUGCUAGGCUAAAAUCUGCAGUCUUUGAUCGCUAGUUUGACGUUCACCGACAGCCGAUUAAUCACCGUUGCGAUCAAAUUUUUCCUCCUACAAAAUUCCGUCAGUGUCAGAAGAUUUGGGACACAGUCCCGCAGUGUGACUUCUACAACGAAUGUCAAAUUGUCUUCUUUUUCAAGAUAAGCCAUGAUCAAAAUUAACCUUAGAGAUGUCUUUGUUAGCCAUUGUUUCAGUCCCGCGUGUCACUUACCAGGUCCAACUCCUUUUUUGUCCGGUCUCUGUAUGAACAGGAAGUUGUGUCAUAAAUUUCAGGGUAUACAAUAGUGCUUUCCUACUUGUGCAGAAGACACAUUUGAGGUGAAUAUCGCAGCAAUGGCAUCAUGUUAUUCACGUCACCCAGAGCGAAUUUGCGUCUAUUCGCGUCUUUGCAUUGUGCAUGAAUAGAUUUGUAUGUAAUUUAUUCAUGCAAAUAAUUAAAGUGGCUUUUGAUGUGCACAUUGAUAGGUCUGAAGGUUUAAUUGGGUGUUAUUGUUGUGUAGUGUGGUGGACUGAAGUGUGCUGUAGUGUUUCUCUCUCUGUCUCCUCCAGCUGAAGCUCAAGGCCGGCGCAGAGAGCUGCUCCACCUCGAGAUCAAGAGUCUGAUGAGUCGAGCUGAAUACCUCAAAGAGCUGAUCAAGAUGCGGGAAACUCAGACGGAUGAAUCGCUGAAGAAAGACGCCGCGGCUGAAUCAGUCAGA